rnacentral:rRNA from 1 species
AGUGAACGCUGGCGGUAGGCCUAACACAUGCAAGUCGAACGGCAGCACAGUAAGAGCUUGCUCUUACGGGUGGCGAGUGGCGGACGGGUGAGGAAUACAUCGGAAUCUACUUUUUCGUGGGGGAUAACGUAGGGAAACUUACGCUAAUACCGCAUACGACCUACGGGUGAAAGCAGGGGAUCUUCGGACCUUGCGCGAUUGAAUGAGCCGAUGUCGGAUUAGCUAGUUGGCGGGGUAAAGGCCCACCAAGGCGACGAUCCGUAGCUGGUCUGAGAGGAUGAUCAGCCACACUGGAACAGAGACACGGUCCAGACUCCUACGGGAGGCAGCAGUGGGGAAUAUUGGACAAUGGGCGCAAGCCUGAUCCAGCCAUACCGCGUGGGUGAAGAAGGCCUUCGGGUUGUAAAGCCCUUUUGUUGGGAAAGAAAAGCAGCAGGUUAAUACCCCGCUGUUCUGACGGUACACAAAGAAUAAGCACCGGCUAACUU